rnacentral:rRNA from 1 species
AGGGUUCGAUUAUGGCUCAGAACGUACGCUGGCGGCACGCCUAAUACAUGCAAGUCGAACGAAGUAGCAAUACUUAGUGGCGAACGGGUGAGUAUAAUGUGGGUAUCUGCCUUUUGGUGAGGAAUAACACGGGGAAACUUGUGCUAAUACCUCAUAAGCCUUCACAGGGAAAGUUUUAACGCCAAAAGAUGAGCCCGCACUUGAUUAGCUAGUUGGUAAGGUAAAAGCUUACCAAGGCUACGAUCAAUAGCUGAUCUGAGAGGAUGAUCAGCCACAUUGGGACUGAGACACGGCCCAAACUCCUACGGGAGGCAGCAGUAGGGAAUCUUGCACAAUGGGGGAAACCCUGAUGCAGCGAUGCCGCGUGAGUGAAGAAGGCCUUUGGGUUGUAAAGCUCUUUCGUCGGGGAAGAAAAUGACUGUACCCGAAUAAGAAGGUCCGGCUAACUUCGUGCCAGCAGCCGCGGUAAUU